GACGAACGCUGGCGGCGUGCUUAACACAUGCAAGUCGAACGGAAAGGCCCUGCUUGCAGGGUACUCGAGUGGCGAACGGGUGAGUAACACGUGGGUGAUCUGCCCUGCACUUCGGGAUAAGCCUGGGAAACUGGGUCUAAUACCGGAUAGGAGCCAUUUUUAGUGUGAUGGUUGGAAAGUUUUUUCGGUGUAGGAUGAGCUCGCGGCCUAUCAGCUUGUUGGUGGGGUAAUGGCCUACCAAGGCGGCGACGGGUAGCCGGCCUGAGAGGAUGGACGGCCACAUUGGGACUGAGAUACGGCCCAGACUCCUACGGGAGGCAGCAGUGGGGAAUAUUGCACAAUGGGCGCAAGCCUGAUGCAGCGACGCCGCGUGGGGGAUGACGGCCUUCGGGUUGUAAACUCCUUUCGCUAGGGACGAAGCUUUUUGUGACGGUACCUAGAUAAGAAGCACCGGCUAACUACGUG
rnacentral:rRNA from 1 species